rnacentral:rRNA from 1 species
AGCUCCAAUAGCGUAUAUUUUAGUUGUUGCAGUUAAAAAGCUCGUAGCCGUAUUUCUGGUGGGAGAAUGCAGUCCGACUUUAUGUCGGUACUCGCAUCCUCCGGCCAUCCUUGGGUCUAGCCAGUUUGGCAUUAAGUUGUCGAGCUGGGGAUGCCCAUCGUUUACUGUGAAAAAAUUAGAGUGUUCAAAGCAGACUUAUGUCGUUGAAUAUAUUAGCAUGGAAUAAUAAAAUAGGACAUCAGUGCUAGUUUGGUGGUUUGCGCACCGAUGUAAUGAUAAAUAGGAACAGUUGUGGCUAUUCGUAUUCAUUUGUAAGAGGUGAAAUUCUUAGAUUAAAGGAAGACGAACUACUGCGAAAGCAUUUAGCAGGGAUGUUUUCA